ACACCAGUUUAAUUUAAAAAUAAUACAAAAAACAAGAAUUGGCCCACCCUAUCCUCACCCACGGUAUCCCUACACCCUCCCACCUCUCUCUCUCUCUCUCUCUCUCUCUCUCUCUCUCUCUCUCUCUCUCUCUCUCUCUCUCUCUCUCUCUCUCUCUCUCUCUUCUUCAUCUUCUUCUUCCUUACUGCUAUAUUUCACAUCCUUCUCAUAGUUUUUUUUUUGUAACCAAGCCAUACUAGUUACAAAGAAAAGAUCAAACACACCUAUGUUGAUGUAUGCUUGGCUAAUGGGUUUUUUCAAUUUGAAGUCUGAUGAGAAGAACCCAAUAAUGAAUUUGGAUAAUUGAUCUUGUCUUGCACUUAAAGUGAAGAAGAAGAAAAUGGAGAAGAUCGUGAAGCAUGUCUAAACACCAGGAAGAGCUUAAAGAAUAUGAAGAAAGGUCUCAAAGGUGAAGAUUCUAGUUCAAGAGGUGAUGCAGAAUACUCUGUUAGUCAUCAUCAUUCAUCAAGACCCAAAACAACCAAUUUUUGAAAGAAACAAGAAAAAUGUUUACAGGUGGAGCUCGACACAUGGACCUCACAGCAGGUGGGAGGCUUUUUGGCGAGCAAGGGUGGUUUUACUGUGCAGUAAAGGUGAAUCUAUGGUGGAGAUGGUGAAAUUUGGUGGUUCUGGGUUUUCUUGGGAAUGUGUGUGUAUGUGAUAUAUAUAUAUAUAUAUAUAUAUAUAUAUAUAUAUAUAUAUAUAUAUAUAUAUAUAUAUAUAUAUAUAUAUAUAUAUAUAUAUAUAUAUAUAUAUAUAUAUAUACUAGGUUAAACCCGUGGAACCCACGGCUGAUAAUUUUAAAUAGAAUUAAAAGAUUGAUUAUAUAAUAAAGUAAUAUAUCAUUAAUUUAAAAAAACUUAUCAAUUGUAAUAUAAUAUUUUUUUAAUAACUUUGUAAUUUGUAAAUAUUUAUUUACACA